rnacentral:ncRNA from 1 species
GGCAGGCCACUCCACAUAAUGGCCUACCGCACAUUAAAAAAGGAGGAAGCACAUCCGCCGGUUCGCGGUGCGGCAGUGUGGAGACCUGCCGUAAUGCGGUUCGCUCUGCGUGUGCGACGCGAGAUCGCCUCUGCGGAGGCUGGGCGAUCAGAACCGAAGC